rnacentral:lncRNA from 1 species
GGUACAUAUGAAAGAAUUAAGCAACAAAACUAUAGAAGAUUUAAAUUUAAUAAAUCCAGCGUAUAUUGCUGCUUUUCAUGUAACAAUAACGCAAUGUAACCGUAUCCUCAAUAAUUAUUGUUACAUUCGUAAUUAAUCGGUUCCUUACCCAACUUUGAAUUCCGGCAAUUAGUCUCCAAUGUAACAAUAAUAUUUUUAUUAUUGUUACAUUUCCAUGUAACCGUAGCCAG